rnacentral:rRNA from 1 species
ACGCGAGCUGGGUUCAGAACGUCGUGAGACAGUUCGGUCCCUAUCCGUCGCAGGCGUAGGAAAUUUGAGAAGACCUGUCCUUAGUACGAGAGGACCGGGAUGGACGUACCUCUGGUGUACCAGUUGUCCUGCCAAGGGCAUGGCUGGGUAGCUGUGUACGGAAUGGAUAAGCGCUGAAAGCAUCUAAGCGCGAAGCCAACUUCAAGAUAAGAUUUCCCACCGCAAGGGUAAGACCCCAGAAAGACUAUCUGGUUGAUAGGUCGAAGGUGUAAGUGCAGCAAUGUAUUUAGCUUAUCGAUACUAAUAGGUCGAGGACUUGACCAA